UACGAAGGGGGCUAGCGUUGCUCGGAAUCACUGGGCGUAAAGGGUGCGUAGGCGGGUCUUUAAGUCAGGGGUGAAAUCCUGGAGCUCAACUCCAGAACUGCCUUUGAUACUGAGGAUCUUGAGUUCGGGAGAGGUGAGUGGAACUGAGAGUGAGAGGUGAAAUUCGUAGAUAUUCGGCAAGAACACCAGUGGCGAAGGCGCUCACUGGCCCGGUACUGACGCUGAGGUGCGAAAGCGUGGGGAGCAAACAGG
rnacentral:rRNA from 1 species